GACGAACGCUGGCGGUAGGCCUAACACAUGCAAGUCGAACGGCAGCACAGGAGAGCUUGCUCUCUGGGUGGCGAGUGGCGGACGGGUGAGGAAUACAUCGGAAUCUACUCUGUCGUGGGGGAUAACGUAGGGAAACUUACGCUAAUACCGCAUACGACCUACGGGUGAAAGCAGGGGAUCUUCGGACCUUGCGCGAUUGAAUGAGCCGAUGUCGGAUUAGCUAGUUGGCGGGGUAAAGGCCCACCAAGGCGACGAUCCGUAGCUGGUCUGAGAGAAUGAUCAACCACACUGGCACUGAGACACGGUCCAGACUCCUACGGGAGGCCGCAGUGGGGAAUAUUGGACAAUGGGCGCAAGCCUGAUCCAGCCAUACCGCGUGGGUGAAGAAGGCCGUCGGGUUGUAAAGCCCUUUUGUUGGGAAAGAAAUCCAGCUGGUUAAUACCCGGUUGGGAUGACGGUACCCAAAGAAUAAGCACCGGCUAACUUCGUGCCAGCCGCCGCCGUAA
rnacentral:rRNA from 1 species